AACGAACGCUGGCGGCAUGCCUAACACAUGCAAGUCGAACGAGACCUUCGGGUCUAGUGGCGCACGGGUGCGUAACGCGUGGGAACCUGCCCUUAGGUUCGGAAUAACUCCCCGAAAGGGGUGCUAAUACCGGAUAAUGUCUUCGGACCAAAGAUUUAUCGCCUUUGGAUGGGCCCGCGUUGGAUUAGCUAGUUGGUAGGGUAAAAGCCUACCAAGGCGACGAUCCAUAGCUGGUCUGAGAGGAUGAUCAGCCACACUGGGACUGAGACACGGCCCAGACUCCUACGGGAGGCAGCAGUGGGGAAUAUUGGACAAUGGGCGAAAGCCUGAUCCAGCAAUGCCGCGUGAGUGAUGAAGGCCUUAGGGUUGUAAAGCUCUUUUACCCGUGAUGAUAAUGACAGUACCGGGAGAAUAAGCGCCGGCUAACUCCGUG
rnacentral:rRNA from 1 species